rnacentral:rRNA from 1 species
GAUGAACGCUGGCUACAGGCUUAACACAUGCAAGUCGAGGGGAAACGGCAUUGGGUGCUUGCACCGAAUGGACGUCGACCGGCGCACGGGUGAGUAACGCGUAUCCAACCUUCCCGUUACUGCGGGAUAACCUGCCGAAAGGCAGACUAAUACCGCAUGUUCUUCGAUGACGGCAUCAGAUUCGAAGCAAAGAUCCGUCGGUAACGGAGGGGGAUGCGUCUGAUUAGCUAGUUGGCGGGGCGACGGCCCACCAAGGCGACGAUCAGUAGGGGUUCUGAGAGGAAGGUCCCCCACAUUGGAACUGAGACACGGUCCAAACUCCUACGGGAGGCAGCAGUGAGGAAUAUUGGUCAAUGGGCGGAAGCCUGAACCAGCCAAGUAGCGUGCAGGAGGACGGCCCUACGGGUUGUAAACUGCCUUUAUGCGGGGAUAAAGUGAGGGACGCGUCCCUUUUUGCAGGUACCGCAUGAAUAAGGACCGGCUAAUUCCGUGCCAGCAGCCGCGGUAAUACGGAAGGUCCGGGCGUUAUCCGGAUUUAUUGGGUUUAAAGGGAGCGUAGGCCGGGGAUUAAGUGUGUUGUGAAAUGUAGGCGCCCAACGUCUGACUUGCAGCGCAUACUGGUUCCCUUGAGUACGCGCAACGCCGGCAGAAUUCGUCGUGUAGCGGUGAAAUGCUUAGAUAUGACGAAGAACCCCGAUUGCGAAGGCAGCCGGCGGGAGCGCAACUGACGCUGAAGCUCGAAGGUGCGGGUAUCGAACAGG